rnacentral:ncRNA from 2 species
UGGCCCGAGGAGCGUUGCAGCGCGGCACCCGCCCAUCCGUACACCGGAUCGCGUGCCGCGUCAGGCUUGGGCCAGGUGCAGGUUCCCGGCCGGACCGCGCCCACGGUGCCAACGACGCUCACCUGUU